GUUGUACCGAAGGCAUUCGGGAAUUCUGAAAAGGAGAGAGAGAGAUGGUGAGAUUUUUCUGGCUGAAGAUACUGAUCUUCGUCACUCAGAGAUGGGAGAAUUUCUGGGUGUUAACAAGAUCCCAGGCUUCCCUGGUGACUCAGACGGUAAAGCAUCCGCCUGCAAUGCGGGAGACCCAGGUAGCAUCGCUGAAACAACGGCUGUGAAUUUGAGCAAACUCUGGGAAAUAAUGAAGGACAGGAAAGCCUUGCAGGCUGCAAUCCAUGGGGUCCCAGAGACUUGGACUUAGAGACUGAACAGCAACAACUGGAAUUGAUAGAGAGAGUUACAAAUUUGUGUCUGUUGAAUUUUCCCCUUCAUUUCUCCACAUAUCAUACUUUGACAUAGACACUUGCUGUUUAAUGAUGUGUGUUUAAUUGGUGCAUAUGGAUCAGAGGAAAGAAGUUUUUUUUCAGCAGAUACCCUCACUUCAUGCCGCCAACAUGAAACUACUUCAACACAGCUCCCCCCACCUAAAAGUAUAUAGGUCUGGCUUGGCAUUUACACACCAUCGGUUGCUCUUUGCUGGGAACCUUUGCAUCGGUCCACAGGCCAACUUGACAUUGAAAUUAUUAUGGUUACUCACACUCAGGUGCAACCAUAUAGCACAACUCUCAGUAAAACUGACAUUGUAUAUAAAGAGCAAAUUACACUAGAUGUUCGUCUCAUAUAUUUAAAUGCAUGUUAUGGAUUCUAUUAAUUAUCUUCAUUGACAAUUCUAGCUUCUACAAUAAUUUUUCUCAACUUCCAAGCUGUCCUACUUCUUGAAACGAAAAACAACAUUUUAUGCUUUCUCUUGAGAAUUACUUAUCACAAGAUUAAAUCUACAUAGAGCAAUUUAAAUUCAUCUGAAAUUUUUUCUCUUCUUUGAUUUGUUUGUUAAAUCAUGUUUGUUAAAUCAUCAUUUGCUAUUUCUAAUUUGUAGCACUAAUUGCAUCUACUUUGAAUUCCGCAUGAAAUCAUCUUCAUAAAACAGUGUA